rnacentral:lncRNA from 1 species
ACCACCACCACCGCCUUGUUGGAACAAAGGACGUCAAAAGCCAUGCCUUACAAAGUCAGCAACCUGUCCCCCGUCAUGAUACCACCAAGAACUCCCACUUUGGAUUUGGUUAAAAGGGUCUCUUCCACCUCAAAUUAUCAGAUGUUGCUGCCUCCUGUUUCCCAUGUACAAGUACAAUGUGCCUCUACUCUGAUAUAUUUGUUGAAUUUUUUUAAUUUCUUCCAUUGAAAAUGAGUUGAAAUGCAGAAAAAUAUGGAAUGGUAGUGCUCAUUCAAGCUAUUACUCUUACCGUG